UUCCGGUUGAUCCUGCCAGAGGUUACUGCUAUCGGAGUUCGAUUAAGCCAUGCGAGUCUAAAGGUUUCUUCGGAAACCUUGGCGGACUGCUCAGUAACACGUGGAUAACCUGCCCUUGGGACUGGAAUAACCCCGGGAAACUGGGGAUAAUACCGGAUAGAUCAGGGAUGCUGGAAUGCACCUUGAUCCAAAGCUCCGGCGCCCAAGGAUGGGUCUGCGGCCUAUCAGGUAGUAGUGGGUGUAACGUACCUACUAGCCAACGACGGGUACGGGUUGUGAGAGCAAGAGCCCGGAGAUGGAUUCUGAGACACGAAUCCAGGCCCUACGGGGUGCAGCAGGCGCGAAACCUUUACAAUGUGCGAAAGCAUGAUAAGGGAACUCCGAGUGCCAGUAUCUAAUACUGGCUGUCCUUGUGCCUAAAACGCACAAGAUAGCAAGGGCCGGGUAAGACCGGUGCCAGCCGCCGCGGUAACACCGGCGGCCCGAGUGGUAGCCGCUAUUAUUGGGUCUAAAGGGUCCGUAGCCGGUUCGAUAAGUCCUCUGGGAAAUCUGGUUGCUUAACAAUCAGACUGCCAAGGGAUACUGUCGAACUUGAGACCGGGAGAGGUAAGAGGUACUUCAGGGGUAGGAGUGAAAUCUUGUAAUCCCUGGGGGACCAUCUGUGGCGAAGGCGUCUUACCAGAACGGGUCUGACGGUGAGGGACGAAAGCUGGGGGCGCAAACCGGAUUAGAUACCCGGGUAGUCCCAGCCGUAAACGAUGCUCGCUAUGUGUCAGGUACGGUGUGACCGUAUCUGGUGCCGUAGGGAAGCCGUGAAGCGAGCCACCUGGGAAGUACGGCCGCAAGGCUGAAACUUAAAGGAAUUGGCGGGGGAGCACUACAACGGGUGGAGCCUGCGGUUUAAUUGGAUUCAACGCCGGG
rnacentral:rRNA from 1 species